CUGGAGAGGCUGCCUGCACUCCCGGGACUUCGGGUGGUGUCCGACGGGUGCGACCCUUCAUUCCCAGGGACAGGAGGCGGCCUUUGUACAUCCACUUUUGCAGCUUCCUGACUGUCACUGCAGGCGGCUUGAGUCAAGGCUCCAGCCUCUAAAUGUGGUUUGAUAUGUACUACCUUGGUGAGUGUCUGGUCUCUGUAUCCUGAAACAGUUGGGCCUGAAUCCCUGCGGAAAUCUUACCCACCUUUUAAGACUCCAUUCAGCUGCCCUCUUCAUGAAGUCAUCUCUCAUCUUCCACAGAGACAUGAACCAGCGGUAUUCUGUUCAUACCCACUCAGAAGCCACACAGUCCUGGGAUGUUUCCUCGUGUAGAAGAAGAGAAUGGACAUUGUCUACGUGCAUGGACCUGAACCUUUGCUCUCAGAUGUUUAGUUGGUCGCCUUUCAGGAGAGAUUGUAAUAUUUUAGGAGCUUCUGUGAAAUGCAGCUGAGCAUUGGAAAUCUGCUUCUUGAACAUGUGCGUUCCUUCUCAGUGCAGCCCUUUCAAGAGCGUUAGAACUAAAUCCUGUAAUAUAUUCCCAUUUAACUGGGAGUAUUAAGUCACAUGUGAAACUGCAUCCUGUAAAUGUCUAAUUCUAAAGUAGGACAAGCUACAAUUAAAUACCUUAAAGACAAAACCUACGCAUCCUUAAAACCACAAGUUUCUCAGAUAAACCCCUUGAAAAAGUGAACCGAUAAAGCCUGUAUCUUUCCUAAAUGACUUAGACCUCCGGGUAGCCACAACUGAAGGGAAUUUGCCCUUUUUCAGAGCUGUCCAUCCAGUAACAAGAUCUGAUACAACAUCGAGGGCUUUUGCCCUAAGGAAGUAACAGAUCUAAUAAUGGACCUAGGCAGAGUCACCAGCGACUACUGACAACACAAAGCGAGAAACAGACAACCGACGUUACAUGGCUCUGAUCAAGGACACAACACCAUGUAUGAGGAUUCUUACCAAAAAUGAAACCGGAGUCUGAUCACCCUCAAGAUCUGCUUCCCAGUUUCCAGGAGUUACGGAGAUCAGAGGAGCACGUUAGAAACACCAUGGGGAUGCAACCACGAAAUCCCGACCGGGGAAAGGACAGGUCAGAGGAUCUAGUCUCUUCAGCAUAUUAACCACUUGCAAUUGCAUAAUCUUUUACAAUGUAACUGGAAUCCAACCUUUCAAAUAGAUCCUGGCAACCAUUUAAAGCAAUACACCUUUGGGGGCAGGCAAAUAGUGUACACUUCAGGGAUGACAGGAGGAUGUUGAAAUCGAGGUCCAAGAACUAAAUUCCAAACCCUGAGAUGGUAUCAUGGAAAUGGUUUGAACUCAGAUAGACUUAGUUCAGUCCUCACUUGAUCCAUCGCACGCCCCCAGCUGCUAAUCACGGUGAACUUUGCUCAGCUUUGCCAGCUCCGGAUCAGUAUUCCCCCUCCUCCUGAAAAUGCAGGGCUCUUUUGAAAUACCACCCACCCGCUGCCCCGCUGCCCCUGCCUUUAUGGUCGUCUGCCGCUUCCCCUGUUCUCACUAACAUCUCCCUCCCUCUCUCCUCCUCCCCACCACUUUCCUCGUUGUCCUCACUCUCGGUGACUUCAUGAUUCACAGCAAGGAUCCGCCCAGUACCCUGGCCUAUCAUUUUCUGGAACUUCUCUCAUAAUCUUAUCGUCCACCCACCUAAGCCACCCAGUCCCAGAGUCUCCAUUAGCCUUUGUCGUGACCAGUGGCUGCAAACUCUCCAGACACCACCUCCUGUUUUCCAGCUCACUCCCUCAGCAGCCAGUCUGCAGCCCAUUAAUCCCACCAACCCUCAGUCCAUCUCGCCCUUCCUGCCUUCCCAGAUUAGACCGCGUGGUCUUUGUAAAAUCCCUCCCUGGGGAACAUCCUCAGCUCUCCUGCCCUCCUUUCCCGUUGUUCUCCUCACUUGGCAAAAUCUCAGCGCGGGUUAAAACACUUCCCCACGUGCCUUGCGCCUUGCGUUGCCCUCUGGUGGCUUAAUGCGACUGGAAAGCAAUGCACCACAGACUUCAGGUGGUUCCUCGCUGCUGCCAAGCAGCUCCAGCAAGCAGCCUAGGCCGUGCAUUCUCUUCGCCUUCUUAAUUUUGAUGCCACCACCCUCCUCGCUCUCAGUGAUGAUUUUUCUUUUUGUCACUGAGACAAAGCAAGUGUGCGGGAGGAGAUGGGCCCCAUUCUUCCACCACGCUGCCUGCGGGCGCCUGAGAGCCCCCCAUCACCCUGUGCAAGGCGGGCUGUGCUGCACCCACCUGAGGCCAACGCUCCGGCCUCCUCCGCCCUCCCCUCCUCCCCGCUCUCAUUGCCCUGAGUCACACGGGCUUCCCUGCUCCUCCACCAAACACGCUCCUGCCUCAGAGCCUUUGCAGCUGUUGAUCCCUCUGCCUGCAGUGACUUCUGUGGGAGGUCCUCCCUCCCUCCAUCCAGGUCUCCCCCAAAUGGUACCUCCUCAGAGAGCUGCACCCCGACCGCUUUACCCGAAGUCAUACCCCGACACUACCUGUUCAUUCCUUUUGCUUUAUUUCUCUUCAGUGGACAUCUGACUAUUGAAGAUUACAUUAGAUGUGUAUCUGUUUGUUUAUGUGGCACCAUCAACACCCCCAAGUACCAUAACCUCACCUGGCAGAAUAGGUCUGGCCCGUGCAGGUGCUUCAUGCAUAUUUGUUGAAUGAGUGUGUGAUUCUCGUGCCCAAGAGCAAGUUAACAUGUGUUUCCAUUUCCUCCAGGGUGAAGUCAGUUUGGUACUGUUUAACAGGUUGUUGUUAAGAGGAUUGAAAGAGGUAACAGACAACUUAGACGAACCUUGAAAACAUUACGCCAAGUGAAAGAAGUCAGGGACAAAAGUCACGUCUUUUAGGACUGCAUUUGUGUUUCCAGAAUAAGCAAAUCCAGAGAGACAGAAAAUGGAUUAGUAGUUGCCAGGGACGGGGGAAGGAGGGCAUGGGAUUUCUUUUUAAGAUGAUGAGACUAUUCUAGAAUUAGAUUGCGGUGGUGGUUGCACAAUGUUUAAAUAUACUAGAAUUCACUGAAUUGUACACUUUAAAAUGGUGAAUUUUAUGGUAAGCAAAUUACAUCUCAAUUUUUUUUUAAAAAGCUCUAUUUUCCUGUUUUUUUGUUUUUUUGUUUUUUUUGUUGUUGUUUGUUUUAUCUUUAUACUCCCAGCUAAUAUUCAUGCAAAAUCUCAACCAAAGAAAAUGUUUUAAAGGGAUCUUUAAGACUGGAGUGAAGAGCUCCUGGACAGCCUAGCGGGUUAAGUAUCCAACAGACUUGUUGCUGUUGCACAGGUUCAGUCCCUGGCUGGCCUGGGACUUCCUCAAGCCGCAGGUGCAGCCCGAAGAAAGAGAGAGAAAGAACGAACUUCCUUUUAUUUCCUACCAGGAAUUCAUAGUUCUUUCAUGUAAAUAGAACCAAAGAGCAUUACUUAUAAGCAAGGAACUACUGAAAAAAAACCGUAAUUACUCCGAGAGAGGUAGGUGCUAUCUUAAAUUGUGGUACAUUCAUCAAUUAUUACACAUACAAGAAAGGAGAACAUCAUAUAUGCAAGACCACAAAUGUCCAUUCAGACUGAUGUCUUGACCUGAAUGCAAUGCAGUCUCACACCCGGAAGUGGAUGCUGGACCCAAAGACAGAGGCGCCAGGGAACUCCUAGUGCUCACAGAAAGUGCAGAAAUUCCUGGGAUGUUUCUUCUCUCUGUUCUGCGUGCUCCAGAAACCAAGCAGUCCCGUGGUGGUGACGGCGGAGGCCACAGGGACAGCUGAAGAAGCCAACACUCCAAGGGAGGGGAGCUGGGACCCCCAAGAAGGUGAGACAAACCCCGAACUGCCUUUUUCUCUCUUUAUCCUGCUACUUGCCCUGGAUCAAGCACAAUCACAGGCGUGGCAGCGGAGAGCCAUAACUAACACCUCAGCUUGGGGGCCCCCCAGGAAAAGCAGAGGCCCAGGCACUGAAAAGGACCUGGCAGACAGUGCCAUAGAGCAGAUGCCCGUGUCUCCCCAGGUUCGUAUGUUGAAAGCUAACGUGCUGGUAUGAGGAAGGAGGCCUCUAGGAGGGGAUUCGGCCACAGGGGCUUCACGAGCGGGAUCAGGGCCCUUCUAAGAGACCUCCGAGGGCCCCUCCCCCUCUGCCGCGCAAGAACACACAGUGAGACGGCAGGUGCCUCUGAACCAGGAAGCGGGCCUUCAUCAGUCACCAAACCUAUGGGUGCCUUAAUCUCGGACUUCCCAGCCUCCAGAACUGUAAUAAAGAAACUGUAGAAAAUGAAUCUUAUUGUUGAAGCCACCCAGUCUGGCAUUCUUGUUAUAGCAGCCUGAGCAGACUGAGACGGAUUGUUCAUGAACCCCUGGGCUCACGCCCGAGCUCGGCAUGUGUGGGUCUGAUCCUAAGCAGGGUUUUGAAGUCUGAAACUGAGCUCACAGAUACAUCACCACCCACGUUCCAAACUAACCACCAGGUAACCCACGCGUGGGACAUACCUGAACAGUGCCGCAAAGAUUUGAAAAACUAACCUUGCACUGGAAACAGAGCCCACAGAAAAUGGGUUGAAACUUGCAACUUUAACCUAGCCAGAUGGAUCGUUGGUUAAAAAAAAAUCAACAGUCUUUAUAGGAUUUUAACAAGAUCCAGAGUUUCACUCAAUAUGUCCGGGAUAUAAGCCAACAUUUUAAGGGUACGAAUAACCAGAAAAUCUCAACUUGCACAGGAAAAGACAGGCAGUAGACACUAAUGCCGACUUGACAACAGAUGCUUCCAUGAGCUGUGGUGUAGGCUGCAGAUGUGGCUCAGAUCCUACAUUGCUGUGGCUGUGGCAUUAGUCAGAAGCUGUAGCUCCGAUUUGGAUCCCUAGCCUGGGACCUCCAUAUGCCUCAGGUACAGCCCUAAAAAGAAAACAAACAAACAAACACAGCUAUUACAUAAAUGCUUCAAACAACCAACCACUAACAUUCUUCUUUUCUAAGCUAGGGGUCUAAUCAGGCUACACCACAGCCACAGCAACGCCAGCUCCUUAACCCACUGAGCAAGGGCUGGGAUCGAACAUGCCACCUCAUGGUUCCUAGUCGGAUUCGUUAACCACUGAGCCACGACGGGAACUCCUUUCAUCUCUUCUUAUGAGAAUAUAAAUCCCGUCAUGAAGGCACCACUCUCAUCUCAACUUCAUUGCCUCCCAAAGGCCUCACCUCCAAAUACCAUCACUUUGGGGGUUAAAGCGUCAACAUAUGAGUUUGGGGCGGGGGUGGGACACAAACACGCAAUCCGGAAUAGGUAGGAUUCUCAGCAAUAUGUCUAGCGAUUCCCUAACAGAAGGUCUGCUUUCCUUCCUGGCACUUUGAGCUCUGUGGGGAGGUCCUUGUCUGUGGAGGGACACACAAUGUUUCCACCGAAUUGCAAUUGGAAACUGCCACCUGGAGGUUUGGGGCUCCUCCUGCCACUGACCUAACACAAAAGAAAGAUGGUGUAUCAGUCAGCAGUUGCUGCCAUGAUACUGCAUGGCAAACAACCAUAAAAUCUCCAGGGCAUACAGUGACGAUUGUUUACUUUUUCUCGUGGGUUUGCAGGUCAGUUGGGGCAGCUGUGAUACGGCUACAGGUCAGCUUAGCUACAUGGGCCUUAUUUGGCUGCCUGGCUGAAGGAGCAGCGGCUACCCCUGGCAUGUCUUCUAAGGCCUAGUCUUGGAGCUGACAAGCUAUUUCUGCCCACAUUCCAUUGAUCAAAGAAAGUCGCUAGGCCUAGCCCGAAGACACACAGAUUCAAUGCUUCUAAACCCGUGGUUGGAAUUCCUAACUAGUUCCUAGAGGCUGUUCUCAAACCGUGCUGCGUGCUGUCACACUCUGCUGCCGGUACCCAUUCCCCCCCCCCGGGGGGGGGGGGGAACGACCCCUCGUCUCCAUCAUUCGAGACCUGCAGGAAUUCUCACCUGUCUUCUCCUUGCCUGCCUGCUUUGUUCCCAGCUUUGUACACAUUGGCCCUCACCUGAGUUUCUACAUGCUGCUAGGAAUUCUAGACCAAUCCCCUGCUUCUCUUCCCACACAGAACUGGUUGGAGGAGAGCUAACAUUUAUGGAGAUCCAGCUCUGGCCAAGCAUGACGUCAUAUAUCAUGUCAUUUAUUCCUCAUAACUCUGAGAAACAGGACUCACUCGUCCGCCUCAUGGAUGAGAUGCCAGAAGCUCAGGGAGAGAAAGUUACUUGUCCGAGGUCACAGAACUUGGAAAUGACUAUUGGACUCCACACUAAAAGCUUACAUCAGGUUCCAAGGCCUAAGCUUCUCUCUAUGCUGCACUUCUCUCCCAAACGUCUGGCUGUUUUUCUCCCCACUCUAGCCACAGGCUUAACCCUUUGUUUAUCUAAUGACCUUGUGGGUUCUAAUUGUUGUCUUCGGGAAAUCCGAACAGCUCAUUGCAUGGUCUUGGGAAAAAUGCCUAAUGAGCUGUGGAACAGAGACUUCUGAUUAAAGGGCUCUGAAAAGACUUCGUGAAGGAGGCGGGGAGCAAAUGUUGGCUGGCUAUGGAGUCCCCGUCGUGGCUCAGUCGAAACGAAACUGACUCCUAUCCAUGAGGACACAGGUUCGACCCCUGGCCUCACUCAAUGGGUUAAUGAUCCAGUGUUGCCGUGGCUGCGGUGUAGGCCGGCGGCUACAGCUCCGAUUUGACCCCUAGCCUAGGAACCUCUGUAUGCCAUGAGUGCGGCCCCAAAAAGACAAAACACAAAAAAGCGCUGUCUGGCUCGGAGUGACUGGGGGGCACCCUUGCUAUAGACUCAUGGGACCGUGUGAGCACAGGCAUGGAGGUGGGCAAUUCAGCGCGUGCUUGGCAGUGAGAGGUCUGCCCUGGCAGGAAUGCGGCGUCAGCUGCUGGGUGGAAGGGGGAGAGGGGAACAGCCUUGCUCUUGGGAAGGAGGUCGGCAGCAAGGCUGUGUGAGAGGAGAAGGGCUUGCACCCCAAAGGGACAUCGCAGGGAAGUAAGGAGUGGUUCCUGCCAAGUCCUGUCAGGGAUGAAAGACUUGAUUCCACAGCGUUAUAUCAACAAGAGAAUGAGCCGCCCGAGAAAGCACAGCGAAUUGCUUCCCAGAACUGCUCCUGGAGGACCGCAGGGAACUCGGCGAGCUGGUGGACCCAGGAAAAUGCAUGAGUUAGGUCAGUUACAGUCAAGGCAGAAAGACGAAGUGGAAUUAGGAAGAUGAGGUAUGACUAAAAAGGCCACCAGUGAAGAACCUACCCGAAACCCCCCUUUCGGAAGAUAAGGAGCAGGUCUUCACCAACAUCAGCAAGACAAAUAACCACCAAGUGCAAAGGCUGAACUUGAACUCCUAAUUGAGUGACAAGUCUUCAGAAAAGCCCUAAUGAAUUUCUCUCCAAACACCUAAAUGUCCUAGCAAUAUAAAAGCCCCUCCUGGCAAUGUAGUUUUGACGCACAGAAAUGGGUGCACCCACCACAAAUUCGCUCCUGCAUCCUGAAAAGAGGCAGGCGUUUCUGAACCACUAAACAUAAGAAGGAUCACCGAGGAUUUCUGAUUACCUGCAGCCCAAGAAGAGAAUGGGCAUGAUAUUGUUCUGUGUCCUUUGAAAGACUAGCAACGGAUCAAAGUCACUCACUUGGUUUGUUUGCUUAUGUAUUUAUUUUUUGUCAUUUUAGGGCCGCACCUGCAGCCUAUGGAGGUUCCCAGGCCACCGGCCUACAUCACAGCCACAGCAACACAGGAUCUGAGCUGCGUCUUUGACCUACACUGCAGGUCACAGCAAUGCUGGAUCCUUAACCCACUGGGCAAGGCCAGGGAUCAAACCUGUGUCCUCAUAGAUGCUGGUCAGAUUCGCUUCCCCUGAGCCUCGACAGGAACUGCACACUUGGUUGAUUUAAUAUAUCCUCUGAGCUGGAUAAACUGAUUUCAGAAAUAAAGGUUGGGUCUCACCGAGAUGGCACAGUGUUCCAAGGCUUUGGACUUAAGGGGCUGUCAGUUUUUGACCUAGUGACAGAAUUUUGGUGUGGAAACCGGCCUGACUUAGUCAUUAUACCGACCUGCACACAAGAUUCUAAAUAUGGGCUCUUCCCUGAACUUUAACGAUUUUACCACGUUUUUUCCGUGUUGCCACAUCUCUUUGCCCGUGGCAGCCCCGUGAUCCUGAAUACGCUCCCUCUGCUUUCACCGGCCCGCCCCUGCCUAAGCCAUGCAGGGUCUUCCUGCUCCUGGACUAAAUUCCAGACUUCCUCCCUCUGCCUGCAUCCUGUGGCUUCUGCCCACCUCUCCAGCCUCACCUUUUCCCACUCUGCCCACUCCUCAUCCGUGCUGAACUCCUGACCGCCUUCCGCUUCUCAGAUCUGCAAGGCAUUUCCUGCUCAGGGGCAGUCUCUGCAGAGGACGCAUGGCUGGUUCUUGCUCAUCCUUCAGAUCUCAGCAACUAGAGUCUCUGAUCAUAGGAGCCCAAAGCUGUGAUGAUCCUUCUCACGCAUGUAUUUCACCUGUUUGCUGUCUGUCUCCCUAGCUAGGGUAUGAGCUCCAUGGGAGUAGGGACCAAGCAUGGAUAGGACCAAACUACUUUUCGAGCUGCAGCUCAAAUAUUGUUCUUUCUAUCUUCAGAGCCUGGUACCACAUGGUCAACAGCCAGUGAAUGAAUGAGUGAAAGUAAAAGUGGGGAGAAAGUGAAGCAAAAGGCAGUAGUGAUCUUAACAUAGACACAUAAAUCAGACUAAGACUUGGAGACAAAACCAGGAUUUCUGGAAUUGAGACAACACUCCAAGCAAUCUAUGUUAUCAACAAUAUAGUAUCAUGCAUACACCUUGUAGCUAUUUAUUGUAGGAUAAAUAAAUAGGAUACCUGUUUGUUCUUGUUGUUACAAAAUAAGUUGUUUCAGAGUUGUUACUUUAAUAUUAAAUUGUGGACACUUUAAAAAAUGGAAAACUGAACAAUACUUGCUUCCUUCCCUCCAUCACAGAGCUAAUGCUGAGAGCAAAUAAUUGUAAAUUCUUCCAACUUAGAUAGAAACCUCUAAAUAUCUUCAGGGAGUUCCCUGGUGGCUCAGUGUGUUAAGGACCUGGCAUUUCUGGUUUCUGCUAUGGCAUGGGUUCUAUCCCUGGCCCAGAAAUUUCUGCAUGCCACAGGUGUGG